GACGAACGCUGGCGGCGUGCUUAACACAUGCAAGUCGAACGGAAAGGCCCUGCUUUUGUGGGGUGCUCGAGUGGCGAACGGGUGAGUAACACGUGAGUAACCUGCCCUUGACUUUGGGAUAACUUCAGGAAACUGGGGCUAAUACCGGAUAGGAGCUCCUGCUGCAUGGUGGGGGUUGGAAAGUUUCGGCGGUUGGGGAUGGACUCGCGGCUUAUCAGCUUGUUGGUGGGGUAGUGGCUUACCAAGGCUUUGACGGGUAGCCGGCCUGAGAGGGUGACCGGCCAAAUGGGGAAGGAGAUACGGCCCAGACCCCUAGGGGAGGGAGCAGGGGGGAAAAUUGCAAAAGGGGGGGAAGCCUGAUGGGGAAACGCCGGGGGGGGGAUGACGGCCUUGGGGUUGAAAACCGCUUUCGCCUGGGACGAAGGGGGGGUGAGGGUAAUGGGGAAAGAAGCACCGGCAAACUACGU
rnacentral:rRNA from 1 species